rnacentral:rRNA from 2 species
GAUGAACGCUGGCGGCGUGCCUAACACAUGCAAGUCGAGCGGGGGUAUACCUUCGGGUGUACUUCAGCGGCGGACGGGUGAGUAACGCGUGGAUAACCUGUCCUGAACUCUGGGAUAACAGUCGGAAACGGCUGCUAACACCGGAUAAGCCCACGGAAUCGCAUGGUUCAGUGGGAAAAGGAAACGGUUCAGGAGGGAUCCGCGUCUGAUUAGCCAGUUGGCGGGGUAACGGCCCACCAAAGCGACGAUCAGUAGCCGACCUGAGAGGGUGAUCGGCCACAUUGGGACUGAGACACGGCCCAAACUCCUACGGGAGGCAGCAGUGGGGAAUAUUGCACAAUGGACGAAAGUCUGAUGCAGCAACGCCGCGUGAGGGAAGAAGGUUUUCGGAUCGUAAACCUCUAUCGAUAGGGACGAAGACAAUGACGGUACCUAAGUAAGAAGCCCCGGCUAACUACGUGCCAGCAGCCGCGGUAAAACGUAGGGGGCAAGCGUUAUCCGGAAUUACUGGGUGUAAAGGGUGAGUAGGCGGCUAGACAAGUCAUAUGUGAAACCCCCAGGCUUAACCUGGGGCUUGCAUAAGAAACUGUAUGGCUAGAGUACAGGAGAGGUAAGCGGAAUUCCUAGUGUAGCGGUGAAAUGCGUAGAUAUUAGGAAGAACACCAGUGGCGAAGGCGGCUUACUGGACUGAAACUGACGCUGAGUCACGAAAGCGUGGGGAGCGAACAGGAUUAGAUACCCUGGUAGUCCACGCCGUAAACGAUGAUAGCUAGGUGUCGGGUCGAGAGAUUCGGUGCCGGCGUAAACACAAUAAGCUAUCCACCUGGGGAGUACGGCCGCAAGGCUGAAACUCAAAGGAAUUGACGGGGGCCCGCACAAGCGGUGGAGCAUGUGGUUUAAUUCGACGCAACGCGAAGAACCUUACCAAGGCUUGACAUGGAAGCGACCACUUCAGAGAUGAAGUUUCCUCUUCGGAGGCGAUUCACACAGGUGGUGCAUGGUUGUCGUCAGCUCGUGUCGUGAGAUGUUGGGUUAAGUCCCGCAACGAGCGCAACCCUUACGUCCAGUUGCCAGCAUUAAUGGUGGGCACACUGGAGGGACUGCCGUGGAGAACACGGAGGAAGGUGGGGAUGAUGUCAAAUCAUCAUGCCCCUUAUGUCUUGGGCUACACACGUGCUACAAUGGGGACAAACAAAGUGAAGCAAGGCAGUGAUGCGGAGCGAAACACUAAAGGUUCCCCCAGUUCGGAUUGAAGGCUGCAACCCGCCUUCAUGAAGUUGGAAUCGCUAGUAAUCGCGAAUCAGCAUGUCGCGGUGAAUACGUUCCCGGGC